GCCAGUGUGACAUAGUGGUUUGAGCAUUGAACUGCAACUCUGGAGACCAGAGUUCAAUUCCCAGCUCAGUCA